UACGAAGGGGGCUAGCGUUGCUCGGAAUCACUGGGCGUAAAGGGUGUGUAGGCGGUUCUUUAAGUUUGGUGUGAAAUCUCCCGGCUCAACUGGGAGGGUGCGCCGAAUACUGAGGGACUAGAGUACGGGAGAGGAAAGUGGAAUUCCUGGUGUAGCGGUGAAAUGCGUAGAUAUCAGGAGGAACACCGGUGGUGUAAACGGCUUUCUGGACCAUAACUGACGCUGAGGCACGAAAGCGUGGGUAGCAAACAGG
rnacentral:rRNA from 1 species